GACGAACGCUGGCGGCGUGCUUAACACAUGCAAGUCGGACGAUGAAGCCGGAGCUUGCUCUGGUGAAUUAGUGGCGAACGGGUGAGUAACACGUGAGUAACCUGCCCUUGACUCUGGGAUAACUGCUAGAAAUGGUAGCUAAUACCGGAUACGACCCUCGGAGGCAUCUUCAGGGGGUGGAAAGAAUUUCGGUCAAGGAUGGACUCGCGGCCUAUAAGCUAGUUGGUGAGGUAAUGGCUAACCAAGGCGACGACGGGUAGCCGGCCUGAGAGGGUGACCGGCCACACUGGGACUGAGACACGGCCCAGACUCCUACGGGAGGCAGCAGUGGGGAAUAUUGCACAAUGGGCGCAAGCCUGAUGCAGCAACGCCGCGCGAGGGAUGACGGCCUUCGGGUUGUAAACCUCUUUUAGUAGGGAAGAAGCGAAAGUGACGGUACCUGCAGAAAAAGCACCGGCUAACUACGUGCCAGCCGCCGCAGUAA
rnacentral:rRNA from 1 species